GCACCAAGGCUCUGCUGACCGCUCGUCUCUAAUUCUUGCCUGACACAGACAUUCCCUGCCCAGGGAAGUGUUUGAUUUAUGUUGAGGUUUCAGUGUCGGGAUUCUGCUGACAGGAGUCAAACUGGGGACUUGGGGAUUCAGAUGAGGAUUUCCUUGCGGAACUACAGAGGAAAAAUGUCCAAGGCCUGGCUUGGACGGAGCGGGUCCUGGUACCCCAGUGCUGAAUGGAAGAAGUGUGGACACAGGCUAAGGAACCUCAUCAUGUCACGCGGCCCUAGAGUGACCAAGCUGGGAACUGAGCUCAGGCUGUUUGCCUCAAAAACUCAGUUUCCGAACCACCACUUUCUGUUGCCUGAGCAAGCAGUCAUUCAGUAAAUUUAGUGAGGACCUGCUCUGGUCAGGCAUGUGUACCACGUGCUGCGGAGAGAAACGGAUACUGUCUCUUUCUGCCCACAAGGAAGCCUGGUGGGUGAACCUUCAUCAAAUCCCUCUACUGGGGAAAACCUUUCCUCGUUUCUCUAUCUACAACUGGAGUUUUGCUCAAUCUUUUUUGCUAUCGAAUUUCACGGAUUCAUGUGUGUUGGAGGAUUCCAUGAGAAUUCUCUAAUCUCACCCUCCAGGUGAUGCAGGAGUCUGUACUGCAGAGCACCUGCCCCAGCACACACACACACACGCAUGCACACGCAUGCACGCACACACGCACAGACGGCAGAGCACAUCUAGUUGAGAGCUUAGAUUCUGGAGAUGAACUACUUGAGUUCAAAUCUUGACUCUACUAUUUACUGCCUGUGUGACCUUGGGCAAGUCCUUUGAUCUCUUUGAUCCUCAGUUUCCUCACCUUUAAAGUCACUCCUACCUUGUAGUGUUUGUUUGGUUUUUUUU